UGACAGAAGCUUGUCUCUGAAAGACUGGAAAGGAAUAAAGAACAUAAUGACUGCUUUGGAUGAUAAACUGCUUGGUGAGAAGCUCCAGUAUUAUUACAGCAGCAGCGAGGGGGAGGAUGAAGACAGUGAGAAAGAAGAUAAAGAAGGCGAGAGCAACAUUCCUGAAAGCGUUGGGGAAGUAGAGCUUAGCAGCGAUGGCAGUGCAGUCAACACAGGUCCCAAAGGAGUCAUUAACGACUGGCGAAGAUUUAAACAAUUGGAAACUGAACAGCGGCAGGAGCAGCGCAGAGAAAUGGAACGACUCAUAAAAAAGUUAUCUAUGACAUGUAGAUCUCACUUAGAUGAAGAGACUGAUAAGCAGAAGCAGAAAGAGCUUCAGGAAAAAAUCAACGGAAAGAUGACAUUACAAGAAUAUAACAUGAUUCACAAUGAUGAAGAUGAUGAGGAAUUUUUACAGCGAUACAGGAAGCAGCGAAUGGAGGAGAUGAGACAGCAGUUGUACAGUGGGCAGCAAUUUAAACAGGUUUUUGAGAUUACCAGUGGAGAAGCAUUUUUGGACACAGUUGAUAAAGAGCAUAAGAGCACACUGAUCAUGAUCCAUAUUUAUGAAGAUGAUAUCCCUGGCACUGAAUCCCUGAACGGCUGUAUGAUCUGCCUGGCCGCUGAGUAUCCGACAGUUAAAUUUUGCAGAGUAAAGAGUUCGCUCAUUGGUGCUAGCACUCGCUUUACUAAUAAUGCUUUGCCAGCUUUGCUGAUCUAUAAGGCAGGUGAGCUCAUCGGCAACUUUGUGCGAAUCACUGACCAGCUUGGAGAAGAUUUUUUUGCUGUAGACCUGGAGGCUUUUCUUCAGGAAUGUGGUUUGCUUCCAGAAAAAGACCUAGUGCUCCUGACUUCUAUACAUAAUCCAUCUGCAUGUUACAGUGAAGACAGUGAUCUGGAAAUAGACUGAACCACUUACACCAAGGGCCAUUAGGUGUAGUUGUACUGUGGGACGUUCUUGUGCUAGGGAUCAUGCUCUUUCUUCCGUAGUGUGGAUCAGCUGUGUAUGGUCAGUCUCCUUACAGGUUUCCUGAAAUUGUGUAAUGUGAAUACCAGUUGGAUUGAGACAUGGCCACCUACUCACUAAGACAAGAAUUGAGACUGCAAAUUUUAUAAGCAUUCCAGACUUAUUAUUAACCUGGAGUUGAACUGCUGCCAGUUAACAGUGCAAGGUCGCAUCUUCCAUUCCCCAAUUUGCAGUCCCCGUUUUGGAAGUACCUUCUUGUUCCAACACUUGGCAUCAAAUAUUUGUUCCUUUCUCACUUAAAAAUAACAACUGCCCGUGAAUUCAUCCUGAGAAUGACUUCAGCUGGAGAGAGUUCUUCUUCCUUUAACCUUGCCUGAGGCUUAAAUGAGAAAGUCUUCUUUCAGUUACAGUUCUUAAUACAUCCUUGGGUUUUAAAAUACCUACCCUUAGAGUUCAUAGUAGUUGCUUCAUCAUAAAAUGAUCUCUGCCUUCUAAGAGAGAGACUGUCUAUUAUCAAGACCUCCAACAUGUGUGCUGAAUAGCAUCAAGGAGAAUUUUGUUGGCAAAAUGCAAAAUUAGGACUUGAAUAACCUCGGAAAUUCGUAUCUCUGUAAAAUGACUAUAUCAGUGCUAAAGUUCAUUUUUGUCUGCCUUCAUAUUACCUGCCUCAGCUGGGUUAUCAGAUGUAUUUUGAAUAUUAAUAACUCCUGGACCUAACAGAUGACUGGAUGGCUUUGUGGGAAAGCAGCCUUGAGCCAGUAGAGCAGGUCACCAUUAGAGGAGUUCAGUAGCAGGCCCAUUUUUUCACAGCUGAUUCCCUUUUCUGAAGCUCAGUAUCUAGUUUCUGCACAGAGUGUUCAGCAGGAUCCAAAAACAUUGCAACUGUCCUGGUUUUCCUCUGAGGGCAGCUCCUUGGGAGCACGUUUUUUUGUACCAUGGAUCAGUGGAGUUCACUAACAGAAAAAAAAUCUUGUGGGGCAGGAGUGAAACCUUUGUGGAGACUGCAGUUUUUCCUUCUGUCCUUUGUAAGAAAUAACAAGUAACAAAGGCCUGCUCAAAAGCAUCACGACAGCUGUUUCUGUUGCCUAGUGACACUGAUCUUAAAGUUCUCAUCUUCCCCAAAAACACAGGGUGACUCCCACUUCUGGACACUGGGUAAAAGCCAUCCAGCACUGGCUGAGUCCAUUUGUCUCUUUAUGAACAUUAUUGCUACCGAAUGGAGCAGCUGCACAUUAAGCUUCCCUCUUGCAGCACCUUUGUCAUUACCAUUUAUUUGUCAGUGAUUACAUUUUCAUUAAGGUGUGUUUGUUUAUUUUGUUUGUGCUCUACUUCCUUCAUAAAUCAGACAUAAUAUGGGGAAGUAGUUUUCAGGGUUUCUAUUACAAUGAAGUUCACCCUGCCUCCAGCGAGUCUGGUGCUAUGUAGCUGUGAGAUAACCUGGGUAGCAUUUGAAGCCAUUAGCAAUUUAUAGCGAAUGCAAGCACAAAAACCUCUGAUGAUGCAGAAUGAGAUAAAGGCUUUAUUGGCCAGAUUAUGGGGUGGCUGAAUUGCUCAAACAAUGUACCUAGCACAAACGAGCCCAUUGAAUGUGUGCACUCUAUACCUAGUUAUUAUUUAAUUGUUUUCUGCAUACUUAAUUUGAUAUUACAACAUGUUUGCUUUCUCACGCAUUACUUAUUUUGCUUGUUAUUUUUUAAUUUUGAGGAAAGUAGACUAUCAUUACCUAAAUACAUGACCCAAUGUAAUGCCAUGUUUAAUGAUUAAAUUUAAUUGCAAGUUUUAUGUAAGGCACUUUAGAACACCAGAAAGAAAUGCAAAUGUCUCUGUGUAAGCACUAGGUUCUUAAUAAGAACGGAUCUUAUGAUAAAAAAAGAAUUUUAAUUGUAUCUAUUAGAACUGUGUUUUAAAAAGUAGUAUAAGCAGAAAAAUAAAUAAUUUGUAAUUAAAAAUUACUGGAUUGGCACAAAUUGUAGCUGUUUUAAGGAGACUUGCAGAAAUCCAGAUUUAAAAUGUGGUAAGAGAUUAUUUCUUUUCAUCUCAGGACUGCAGAACUAAAACAUGAAAGUUAUAUGAAAUUAAAUCAUUGAGCAUGGAUAUCAGCACAUUUAAGAAAAAAAAUCAAAGUAGCUGUAAUUUAUAUUCAGGAUGAGAUUCAGUGAAGUGUGUCGUGCAGACAGAGUGCACAUUAGCAUUAUAAUAAAACCUGGCUUGGAGAGGGGGUCGAGGAGAGCUGACUGCUUCCAUUGCUUUGAAGUUUUAUUUUUAUAAAGUGUUUUUUUAACCCCUGUGGCAGCAAAACUGUAAUGGGAUCAAAACCUCUCCUGCUGCUCUAUGUCGGAUGGCCUGCAGCAAGGUGACUCCUGGUUAUUAAUCUCCCAUGCUCAGGUAUAUGACAGAUGGUUUACAGUGCCAAUAGCAAAAAGGAAAAGAAAAAAGGUCUAAAUCCAAUUAAUCAUCGAUCUGGAAGAAUAUAAUAAGCACAAGGGAGAGGGGGAGAGGGAGAAGAUGUGCUAUGAUGCUGCUUCUGAUUCUCAGCACAAGCAGCCCAACUGUGAGAAGGAAGGGGAGGCUGGCAGCGGCUGCAGAGAAGUGUCGCUGGCCGUGCUGGGUGCUGCUGCUGAUGCUUUUGUCCAUUCUUGUAGCUAAAUCCUUCCAAACUGACCAAGCAUGCCCUAAAAUAUCCCAGAAUUCUUAAUGGGCAUUAAACAAUGUAACAAAGUAAAACUAAUUUAGAAUAGGUCAGCUACUAAUUUGUGAGUGUCUGUCCCCUAUCCAUUCAAUACAAAUAAAAACUACAACUCAUACCAACACUGUAUCUGUAAAUGUUUUGGUUGAAGUGUUAAAGUCUGCUUUAUUUCUCUAAUUUUGGAUGUGAUCCUGACCUGCAGAUUAAGAAUUG